GCGCCUCUAGCUCAAUGGCAGAGCAGCGGGCUUUUAACCCGUUGGUUCAGGGUUCGACCCCCUGGGGGCGCA
rnacentral:tRNA from 3 species